rnacentral:rRNA from 1 species
UACGUAGGGUCCGAGCGUUAAUCGGAAUUACUGGGCGUAAAGCGUGCGCAGGCGGUUUUGUAAGACAGAUGUGAAAUCCCCGGGCUUAACCUGGGAAUUGCAUUUGUGACUGCAAGGCUAGAGUGUGUCAGAGGGGGGUAGAAUUCCAUGUGUAGCAGUGAAAUGCGUAGAGACGUGGAGGAAUACCGAUGGCGAAGGCAGCCCCCUGGGAUAACACUGACGCUCAUGCACGAAAGCGUGGGGAGCAAACAGG